rnacentral:rRNA from 1 species
UACGAAGGGGGCUAGCGUUGCUCGGAAUCACUGGGCGUAAAGGGUGCGUAGGCGGGUCUUUAAGUCGGGGGUGAAAUCCUGGAGCUCAACUCCAGAACUGCCUUUGAUAUUGAAGAUCUUGAGUUCGGGAGAGGUGAGUGGAACUGCGAGUGUAGAGGUGAAAUUCGUAGAUAUUCGCAAGAACACCAGUGGCGAAGGCGGCUCACUGGCUCGGUACUGACGCUGAGGUGCGAAAGCGUGGGGAGCAAACAGG